UUUAUGGAGAGUUUGAUCCUGGCUCAGAGUGAACGCUGGCGGCGUGCCUAAUACAUGCAAGUCGAACGAUGAAGCUUCUAGCUUGCUAGAAUGCUGAUUAGUGGCGCACGGGUGAGUAACGCAUAGGUUAUGUGCCUCUUAGUUUGGGAUAGCCAUUGGAAACGAUGAUUAAUACCAGAUACUCCCUACGGGGGAAAGAUUUAUCGCUAAGAGAUCAGCCUAUGUCCUAUCAGCUUGUUGGUAAGGUAAUGGCUUACCAAGGCUAUGACGGGUAUCCGGCCUGAGAGGGUGAACGGACACACUGGAACUGAGACACGGUCCAGACUCCUACGGGAGGCAGCAGUAGGGAAUAUUGCUCAAUGGGGGAAACCCUGAAGCAGCAACGCCGCGUGGAGGAUGAAGGUUUUAGGAUUGUAAACUCCUUUUGUUAGAGAAGAUAAUGACGGUAUCUAACGAAUAAGCACCGGCUAACUCCGUGCCAGCAGCCGCGGUAAUACGGAGGGUGCAAGCGUUACUCGGAAUCACUGGGCGUAAAGAGCGCGUAGGCGGGAUAGUCAGUCAGGUGUGAAAUCCUAUGGCUUAACCAUAGAACUGCAUUUGAAACUACUAUUCUAGAGUGUGGGAGAGGUAGGUGGAAUUCUUGGUGUAGGGGUAAAAUCCGUAGAGAUCAAGAGGAAUACUCAUUGCGAAGGCGACCUGCUGGAACAUUACUGACGCUGAUUGCGCGAAAGCGUGGGGAGCAAACAGGAUUAGAUACCCUGGUAGUCCACGCCCUAAACGAUGGAUGCUAGUUGUUGGAGGGCUUAGUCUCUCCAGUAAUGCAGCUAACGCAUUAAGCAUCCCGCCUGGGGAGUACGGUCGCAAGAUUAAAACUCAAAGGAAUAGACGGGGACCCGCACAAGCGGUGGAGCAUGUGGUUUAAUUCGAAGAUACACGAAGAACCUUACCUAGGCUUGACAUUGAGAGAAUCCGCUAGAAAUAGUGGAGUGUCUGGCUUGCUAGACCUUGAAAACAGGUGCUGCACGGCUGUCGUCAGCUCGUGUCGUGAGAUGUUGGGUUAAGUCCCGCAACGAGCGCAACCCCCUUUCUUAGUUGCUAACAGGUUAUGCUGAGAACUCUAAGGAUACUGCCUCCGUAAGGAGGAGGAAGGUGGGGACGACGUCAAGUCAUCAUGGCCCUUACGCCUAGGGCUACACACGUGCUACAAUGGGGUGCACAAAGAGAAGCAAUACUGCGAAGUGGAGCCAAUCUUCAAAACACCUCUCAGUUCGGAUUGUAGGCUGCAACUCGCCUGCAUGAAGCUGGAAUCGCUAGUAAUCGCAAAUCAGCCAUGUUGCGGUGAAUACGUUCCCGGGUCUUGUACUCACCGCCCGUCACACCAUGGGAGUUGUGUUUGCCUUAAGUCAGGAUGCUAAAUUGGCUACUGCCCACGGCACACACAGCGACUGGGGUGAAGUCGUAACAAGGUAACCGUAGGUGAACCUGCGGUUGGAUCACCUCCUUUCUAGA
rnacentral:rRNA from 1 species